rnacentral:miRNA from 1 species
UUUACGUUGAUUUCAUCUCAUGA